CUCCUCGUGACCAUAAGAACAUCAAAAGUUCGUGACCGGAAAAACUUGAUUCCUCUAAGCCAGAGUACACAAAGGUGUGCCAUCUCUGUAAAGCACAAAGAAGAUAAGACAGUCUAAGUUUACCAAACAGAAAAAUGGAGCCCCAAGAAGACUGGAAUACAUCAGAGAAAUCCAAGCUGUUGCAGCCUGGGCCGCCACCAUACCAGGACCAUCUUAGACAGCCUCCUCCAGGGAACUUCCAGAGCACUUCUGGCUAUCAAGCCCAGCAAUAUGGAGCUUCAGGGCCAUACGGCCAAGGACCGUAUCCAGGACAUGCUGCGGUCAUUGUGCAACCUGCAGUUUAUGUGACCACCACUCCACUGGUGUAUCCACUGCCAGAUUACCUGGGUUACUCCAUCUUUACCAUGUUGUGCUGCUGCUUACCUCUGGGCAUUGCUGCACUGGUUUUCUCUAUCAAUACUCGGAAUGCCAACAUGUCUGGACAACAACAGUUAGCAGAGAGAAACUCCAAAUUGGCGUUCACUCUUAACAAUACUGCUCUUGGUAUUGGCAUUGUUAUCUUGGUGUUGUAUGUCACCCUCAUCACUGUCAACUCUAAACACCAUUCAAAUCCAUAAUUGUUCAGGACAUCAGAGUUGGACACCAGGAAUGACAAGAUAGAGAGCUUUCUAAAAACUAAAAUUGUAUAAUGACACAAGUAUAAAUUUAAAUGAAUUUACAUUUUCAUCUGAAAGAUCAGUCUGGCUCAUCUCUAGUGUAAAAUUAUUCAUGUUACUAAAACAUGCUUUAUAGUUGAUUAUCUUAUGUUUCAAAACCAUACAAACUGUGACUCUCAUUGUAUAAAAAUUGAUGUUUGUUCUUCCUGUCUUUUGAUUAUGUAUUUAAUUAAAACUGUCAAUGACCAAUAAUGCAUACCAGUUUUCUUUGUUUAAAACCAUUUAUGUGGUUUUACCUGAGCACUGUCCAUUCGUAUUCCCGAAUAAAAUCACUCUUAUAAGCCGGUUAAGGCAGUUUUUUGGAGAAUGUUUCUUAUGUAAAUGCCUGUGCAUGACAAUUAAAAAUAUAAACAGAUUCAACAAAUUCGGAGCUCCAUGUGGUCUGUAGUUUUCCUAUGGGCU
rnacentral:lncRNA from 1 species